UCAGUGGGAGCCAGGGACUAUCAGAGGCUGCCAGAGCUGCUGGGUUCUGCAAUCAGUUCUUUCAAAAUAUAGAGGAUACAGGUGUGUCUGGGAUGUUUAUGAUGGAGGAAGAAGCAGGUCUGUUGGGAAAGUCAUGGGGAGGAAGGAAGACGGCGCAGGUGGGGUUAGGAGCUGGCAGUGCCUCAUCCAACAGGAGCAGAACCACAGGGCUCUUGUCUUGGAGGCACCAAGAAACGUGGAGGCUGCUGGGGCCUGAAGUGCUUCCUGGAAGCCAAUGGAGCAUAAAGGCCUAAAGAUUGUAGGGUGGCCCUUGAGUCCUUCCGGCUGUGAAGUCUUGAAGGGGAAGUCCUGGAUGGACUGUUGGACAUUGUGAGGAAGCCCCAAGAAUUGGAGCCAAGAACACCACCUCAUGGUGACAGCGGAGGCCAUUGUCCUGGCGGCCGAGUUGGCUGCAUCCAGAGCCACCUGGAGAGUGGUCCUGGCCACAUCUUACCCUCUUCCAAGAGGGCAGUGAACUCCUGCCUUGAAUUUUGGGGCAGAGAGAGUUUUUAAAUUUAGCCAGGGAGUACCAUGGAUUAUAAAUCGUAUCUCUCCAGCAAAACUCGCUGGUUAGAGAUACAUAGUUGAAGGCUACCCUUUGAAUAAACCUUUCUGAAAAAG